AAUUUUGGACAAUGGGGGAAACCCUGAUCCAGCCAUCCCGCGUGUAUGAUGAAGGCCUNCGGGUUNUNAAGUACUUUUGGCAGCGNCGAAACGCUCUCCCCUAAUACGGGAUACUGCUGACGGUAUCUGCAGAAUAAUCACCGGCUACCUACGUGCCAGCAGCCGCGGUAAUACGUAGGGUGCAAGCGUUAAUCGGAAUUACUGGGCGUAAAGGGUAUGUAGGCGGUUCGGAAAGAAAGCUGUGAAAUCCCAGGGCGCAACCUUGGAACUGCAUUUUUAACUGCCGAGCUAGAGUAUGUCAGAGGGGGGUAGAAUUCCACGUGUAGCAGUGAAAUGCGUAGAUAUGUGGAGGAAUACCGAUGGCGAAGGCAGCACCCUGGGAUAAUACUGACGCUAAGACACGAAAGCGUGGGGAGCAAACAGG
rnacentral:rRNA from 1 species